AGCGAACGCUGGCGGCAGGCUUAACACAUGCAAGUCGAGCGGGCACUUCGGUGUCAGCGGCAGACGGGUGAGUAACACGUGGGAACGUGCCCUUCGGUUCGGAAUAACUCAGGGAAACUUGAGCUAAUACCGGAUACGCCCUUUUGGGGAAAGGUUUACUGCCGAAGGAUCGGCCCGCGUCUGAUUAGCUAGUUGGUGGGGUAAAGGCCUACCAAGGCGACGAUCAGUAGCUGGUCUGAGAGGANGAUCAGCCACAUUGGGACUGAGACACGGCCCAAACUCCUACGGGAGGCAGCAGUGGGGAAUAUUGGACAAUGGGCGCAAGCCUGAUCCAGCCAUGCCGCGUGAGUGAUGAAGGCCCUAGGGUUGUAAAGCUCUUUUGUACGGGAAGAUAAUGACGGUACCGUAAGAAUAAGCCCCGGCUAACUUCGUGCCAGCAGCCGCCGCUGUAAU
rnacentral:rRNA from 1 species